UUGGUGUUUAAGGAAAACAAUGGAGGGACUCCCACUCAUCUUCACUUACCUGGCCAUUUUGGGAGAUUAUGUUUUGAAUUAAGUUACUUGUUGACCCGAGUUCAUCCAUGUGACUAGGUUGGUCAGACAUGAAAUGUGCUGAUCCAAACCAGAUUAAUCAUUACACCAGAUGUAUAUAACUAAUUAGAAGAGAUCUGAAUCUAAAUCUUCUCACUAAAUAUUAAGUCUACUAGUCUUCUACCAUUGUAGGGAUGCAGGUGCCUUUUCUGGCAUUGAUCGUUCUUGACUAGUUACAGUGGUUCGGUUGCAUCGGAAAGAUACAGCCAUUUUAUUAGCAUUAGA
rnacentral:lncRNA from 1 species